rnacentral:rRNA from 1 species
UGGGGAAUAUUGCACAAUGGGGGAAACCCUGAUGCAGCGACGCCGCGUGAACGAAGAAGGUAUUCGUAUCGUAAAGUUCUGUCCUAUGGGAAGAUAAUGACAGUACCAUAGAAGAAAGCUCCGGCUAAAUACGUGCCAGCAGCCGCGGUAAUACGUAUGGAGCGAGCGUUGUCCGGAAUUAUUGGGCGUAAAGGGUACGCAGGCGGUUUAAUAAGUCGAAUGUUAAAGAUCGGGGCUCAACCCCGCAAAGCAUUGGAAACUGAUAAACUUGAGUAGUGGAGAGGAAAGUGGAAUUCCUAGUGUAGUGGUGAAAUACGUAGAUAUUAGGAGGAAUACCAGUAGCGAAGGCGACUUUCUGGACACAAACUGACGCUGAGGUACGAAAGCGUGGGGAGGAAACAGG